UAUUAAUUUCGAAUCUGAUCCAAAUGAAAUAGCACAAAUAAAAUAAAUAACUUCGCAAGUAACAGAUGAACAGUUUGAUGCUGAUGAGAUAGGACAGAUAGAACAAACAGAUACAGCGUCUAUUGAGUAUUCAAAUAUCACAGACACCGAACAACCAAAUUGUUCAACAUCAUUAGUUCCACAGCGCAAAUUGAAACGCAAAUUAUCAACUAAGAAAAAGAAGAAAGAUUCCAUUUUACAUCUUUUCCACGUAUCUCAACAGUCACAGUUAUCUGUGCGCGACAAACAUGUAUACAAUCAAAUAAUACACUUAAUAAAAAUUUCAAGGCAACAGA
rnacentral:lncRNA from 13 species